rnacentral:rRNA from 1 species
UACGUAGGGUGCAAGCGUUGUCCGGAAUUAUUGGGCGUAAAGGGCUCGUAGGCGGUCUGUUGCGUCGGUUGUGAAAACCUGGGGCUCAACUCCAGGCCUGCAAUCGAUACGGGCAGACUAGAGUUCGGUAGGGGAGACUGGAGUUCCUGGUGUAGCGGUGAAAUGCGCAGAUAUCAGGAGGAACACCGGUGGCGAAGGCGGGUCUCUGGGCCGAAACUGACGCUGAGGAGCGAAAGCGUGGGGAGCAAACAGG